rnacentral:rRNA from 1 species
UUGACCUCGAAUCAGGCGGGACUACCCGCUGAAAGCUUAAGCAUAUCAAUAAGCGGAGGA